rnacentral:rRNA from 1 species
GUGCUUGGGCGAGAGUAGUACUAGGAUGGGUGACCUCCUGGGAAGUCCUCGUGUUGCACCCCACCAAAUCUC